UGGGGAAUAUUGCACAAUGGGCGCAAGCCUGAUGCAGCCAUGCCGCGUGUGUGAAGAAGGCCUUCGGGUUGUAAAGCACUUUCAGCGAGGAGGAAGGCGGUGAGCUUAAUACGCUCAUCAAUUGACGUUACUCGCAGAAGAAGCACCGGCUAACUCCGUGCCAGCAGCCGCGGUAAUACGGAGGGUGCAAGCGUUAAUCGGAAUUACUGGGCGUAAAGCGCACGCAGGCGGUUCGUUAAGUCAGAUGUGAAAUCCCCGGGCUCAACCUGGGAACUGCAUUUGAAACUGGCAAGCUAGAGUCUCGUAGAGGGGGGUAGAAUUCCAGGUGUAGCGGUGAAAUGCGUAGAGAUCUGGAGGAAUACCGGUGGCGAAGGCGGCCCCCUGGACGAAGACUGACGCUCAGGUGCGAAAGCGUGGGG
rnacentral:rRNA from 1 species